GUUCCCGUACGAUCACCGAAGUUAAGCAACGUCGAGCCUGAUCAGUACCUAGAUGGGUGACCGCUUGGAAAUACCAGGUGCUGUAGG